rnacentral:lncRNA from 1 species
UUGGGUAAGCAAACUUGUUCCUAUCUGGAGACGAUUUUGGCAUUGAUUACUUUUUAGAGUCUUUUGUAUGAUUCGUGUUUAUGAUAGCCAUGAGGGGGUUGCAGAAAGUGCCAGUUUUGCUCGUUUUUGAUUCCUUGAGAUUGGCCAGUUUAUAUCCUGAUAAUGAUCCUACAGGGUUUUUUUUCCCCCCAUUUAUCGAACAGAAUACGUGGCUGCUUCAGAAUGAUCUACUGAAUAAAUGCAUUGACCGUUCAAACUCGAAUCUAAAAAGGAAGCCGAGUUUACAGACAGCAGAGAGGGAGGGCUGUGGAUGGGUGGUUUGUGAAGCACGGAGGGUGCUGGUGACAGAGACAAACCCCUAAGCCCCGACCCUGGUUCUCUGUGGCACCGUGACUCAGAUCCUCUCCAGGAUCUGUUCAGGUAGUCUGGGAACGUUUUGUCAGAUUUGUGGGUAGUAAACUGGUGCCCUAUGACGGUCGGGGCAGCGUCUACAUCGGUGGUGUCCCUAACUAGUGGGGGGAACUGCACUGGAUGAUUGGAUUCACCCCAGCUCCAGAGAGACGUGUGUGAGCCAGCAUUUGGACCCAGCUGCUGCUGUAUUGGCUUCUUGUUGUAUUCACCUUGCAAACUGUUCCUAGAAAAGGCCUAAGUCUUUAAAUGAAUAAGCAGAAUGAAACCACCUCAGCAACAAGGAAUGCCUAUUUCUGCCCCUGCAGAGCAUGGUGAACUCUGCCAGUUGCCCAGCUUUAUCUGAGGUCAGGCCACAGACGUGUCUCAGAACCUAGUUGAUCCAGCGGGACCAUCACCUCAGGAAAUUCAAAGCUGUUAAGCAGUGGGUAGAAGGUUCUGCCGUGCAUCAAACUGACCCCUCUAUGCAUUUAAAGACUUGAAAGCCUGGUUGACUUUCACUCUGUUUAUAUGUCUUUGAGAAUAAUAGACCUUCCUAAAGAGAAGUAGAGGGAACGUUGUAACUGGCUUUUUAAAUAAUUAAUUGGAAACAUUGUAGCAAGAGUACCAUCUUGUGAUGUGACUUUUUCCAAUGGGUUGAUUCUCUCUAGUGGUGCAGAUACCGGAACCAGACUGCAGGUUCUUAGACAAGGAGUGCAAGGGCCCUUGAGCUACACAGGCUUGGAGUCCUUUGUCUAAAACAAAGCAGAAUGCAGGGACCCAGAGAGGGGGAAAAAUAUCCACCUGUUGGCAAGACUGGCACUUCCUCAUUAUAAACACCUUAAUGUUCCGUAGCCUGCCUUUCCCUGGGGAGAGGACCUUUGCAGCUCCAAAUCUCAGACAUGCUUUGCUAAUUUAAACACUUUUGAGGUUCAUUAAUAAUUUAGUUUACGUAAGAUUGGAUCCUAUGUAAUGCACACUCCAGUGAGUAAAAGCAGGAUCUCUCCUAACCUCCACCCCCUGUGUAGGCUCCAUCGUCUCCUUUGCUUUAAGCUUGAGAAGUAAAAUGUAUUUACCAUCAUAGGCAGGUGUGCCCCAUUUUGUACUACAGGCUGACUGAUUUUCCUUAGUCAACUGACAAAAUUCAAAUAUUUGAUAUUUGAAUGACUGGUGGGUCUCAUUUGCCUUUGCAAAACAAUCUUCAUUAUACAGCCCACCCGGCACUUUUAAGAUAUGCAAAAUUAAUACAGGAAAGACGGUGAAAUAAAAGGCUAAGAAAGAUUGUGUUGCUUCUAUUGCAUUUUGCAAGGUUCUUAACUAUUUUGAAAACCCUCUUCAGGAGGAGUUCCUGCAAGUUGCAACUGGUGUGAGCCAUUAUGUCUUGUGACAGGUUCCACAAUGAGUGACUUGUGAUUGAUGCGAAGCCCGAUGCCCAGAGAUGAAUCGUAGACCGCGUUGCCCUGUUUCUCUUGCCCCACUAAUAUUAUCAAGUGAGCCCAGUAGCUUAGCGUGGGGCUUUGCUCUGACACAAUGCAUGCCUGCUAAUGCUUCUGCUCUGUAAAGUCCCCCAAACACGAUCCUUCAGGGCUGUCUAGAGAAAAAAAAAUGUGACUGUAGAUAAUUUGAGUUGUUCAAGACUUUUAAAAUGCCUUUCAUGACAAAUUCCCCAUUAGAGACAAGUCUCAGCCCUUGCCCUGUGUUUACAAAAGGGGUUUAGUUGUAAUAGGCAGUGCUUUUUUUUGGAAAAUGCAAAAGUGAAAAAAGAGAAUUCGAGAAUAAACACGAGGAAUCUGGAAGGCAGAAUGUCAAGAGCAUUAAAGCAUUGGAGCAGAUAAACGUCCCAAGUCUGCAGUUCUCGGGUGUAGCUCUGGGACACUUGUUGGUUUUAGAUUGGUCUUUCCACAAUAACGCCCACUCCUCCUGCUCCCCCUCCUCCCCCUCCUCCUCCAGUCAGGUGUGGGCAAGUGACUUGGGGACAGAGUGCUCACCUGGGUCAUUCCUGUAGAGUCAGUACCUUUAGAUGAUAGUGGUAAGCAGUAGAGAGUGGCUGUCCCCCUACUGAGAAAAUCAUGGUGGCUUUUACAUGGACUUUUAUUGUGACACUCGAAGGUCAGAUCUGGGAACUUCAUUCACAAAAUGUAUUUUUGAUUGUUUGUGUGCUCUGUAUUUAUUAAUUAAUCCAAAUUUGCAAUCCCCCUGCUUCAGCCUUUCAAGUGCUCAGACUAUAGUCCUAUGGUACCAUGCAUGGGACAAAAAUAAUUUUUAAGUGAAACUGAUUAUUACAAGAGGAUCUGUAUCUGUGUUGCUAAGAUAUUUCUGAUAGGAUGCAAAUAAACUUUUGUGCCAACCCAGAGCCUUAAUCACUGAGAUAGGAGCUAACCUGAAAGACUGGUUUUGUUUGUGAAGGAGGGAUUUUUGUUGUUGUUGUUGUUGUUUUGUUGUUGGAUGAAUGGCAUGAAAAAAAAAAAACGCUUGGAAGAGAACUUGAUGUAGAGAACGGAUUCUUAGUUGGACUGCUGGUCAAUAUUCAGUUGUUUUGUUUGGAAAGAACCCAUCUUCAGAACCCCAUGACCUAGAAUCUCUUUGGAUAUGUUAUGUCUUACAUAUUUAAGUGGUUUUCAUGUCAAAUGCUUAUGUAUUUGGAGUUUCCCUGGUUUAUAUCGGUAUGACGAGGUUGUGUUUAUUUCAUAAUGCUCUAACAGUGGUCCCAGGGGUCCUGUCUUGUCAAUUAUAGUUCUUUUUUUUUUCCUGCGCUUUCCUGAGUUGGAAGUUUGUUUCUUAUAGGUUCACAGCGCUGUGUCUUGGUCUUUCUUUUGUCCUCAAAGCAUCGAGACCAGCACUGACUGCCAACCAGAUUCUGAUCUAUGUAGCGUAGAUUUUUUUUAAAAGGGGGUGUCUUAUUUGAAAUACUUAACGAACGCUAUUCCUGAUCUCAGAAACACCAAAUGGAAGUGUUUUGUGACGUUUUAGAUGUGCUGUCUGUUGAAGUGCCCUAUGACGUCAUGGCGUUACCUUUUAUCCCUUCUUUCUAUUGGUUCACCUAAGCGUUUGUAGUCUUGACAUUUGAAAUUAGGGAACUAAGGGUGGCGAUGUUAUGAUGAGUAAUCAAAGCAGUUCUUUGCGUCUUUGUUUUCUUGACUGUUCACUGUGCUUGCAUGUUGAGUGUGUUCUUAGUGUGCCGAGACAUGGGGUUUGGGAUAUGGGCAGAGUCAGUUUGAGUAAAACAAGAUGUGCCAUCGACUUGCUUCCAGACAUAGAAUAAGUAACCGAAUACUGGAAAUCAGAGUUAUAUUUACAACACAGAGUGAGUGGCAUUAAGUUAGGUGAUCUCUGUAUAGUGCCUGGCAGGAGAUAGCACUUCAGUAAAUGACCCCAUGUGUAUUUCAUUGCUAAAAUAACCAGGUUCUUUAUUCUUCCUGAGAUAUCUUUACUGAUGGGUCAGGAGUAAUGUUAUUUGUUCUUUCAGCUCUAGUAGUUGCUUGGAAAGAAUAUCUUUCUGAUAUAGUUAGGGCAUUUUGUUACCUGUUCUCAUAUAAUCACCAUGUUUUUUGUUUUUUUUUAUUGGAUCCCAAAUAAGGUUGCAAGUUUUAGCAGCAGUGGUGCAUACCUUUAAUCCCAGCAUUCAGGAGGUAGAGGCAGGCGGAUCUCUGUGAGUUCAAGGCCAGCCUGGUCUAUAGAGCUAGUUCUAUAACAGCCAGGGCUACACAAAGAAACCUUAUCUUAAAAAACCAAAAGGAUGAUGAUGAUGAUGCAAGCUGAGUAUGGUAAGAUACAGGUGUACUCAUAGCAGUUAGAAGGUUGUGGAGGCAAGAGGGGUGUGAAUGAGAAGCCAGCCUAGGCUACCCAGUGAUACUCUUUUUAGAAGAAAUAAAAGGAUGCUGUUUGUGUCCAUAUAUUUAAAGCAUGAGGGCUUUUGCCAGUAACUAUAAGAAAGCCUUGGAAGGAUAGCUGAUUCUGGCCGUCAAACCCGAGGUCCAUGGAAGAGACUAACAGACAGACUUUCAGAAGGCCAGUUGCUAAGCCAAGGGGCAGUGACAUGGCCAACAGGGAAGAGACGGACAUGAGGACAUGGAAAGACGUGAGACUGCUCUACUGAUUCCUCAGAGAAUGGGGAGGGAGGUGGUGGGUGGAGACACGGCAGGAGUCCUGCGUCUGUAGGUCCUGUCAUCACCUUGGUGGUACUGCCACAGGCUCACACCAGAAGAUAGGAGAGGGGACAGGAUAUAUGGC